CUCAAGAACGGAUACUGCAGCUGCUAAAUCACCAUUUUCAGCUGCAGCUCUUGCUUCUGCCAUUGCUUCUGCUGAUUGAAGCCGAUUACGCUGCUUGUCAACUUCCAUUGACACAACAAGUUGUCCAAUUGUGUCAGGCCUCUCAAUUUUGACAUCACUAGCAUGAUUCAAGGUUACUAAAUCUUUCGAUAUAGGCUCUUUAUAUGUACACUUAACUUUUACAAGGGUCAUAAAAUCAUUGCUUGACCUAUCAGCAGGAAUAUCAAUCAUGACCAAGAAAUCUCUUUCUUCAUCUGCAUAUCUGUCCAAUUGUCUCAGGCCUCUCAAUUUUGACAUCACUAGCAUGAUUCAAGGUUACUAAAUCUUUCGAUAGAGGGUCUUUAUAUGUACACUUAACUUUUCCAAGGGUCAUAAAAUCAUUGCUUGACCUAUCAGCAGGAAUGUCAAUCAUGACCAAGAAAUCUCUUUCUUCAUCUGCGUAUAAGUCACCAAC
rnacentral:lncRNA from 1 species